CAGCAACUCUUAUUCUUGGAGUGAACGCCUGAUUCCCUGGAAAGGAUUGACGGGACCCAAACAAACCCUGCAACAAUCCCAAAUUUCACGAGUAGGGGGAAAAAAAAUAUAUUCUCCAGAGAUCAAAACUCGAGUGAAUCAUUUUCCACCACUCUGACAUGUCAAAUACUCCGGUGAUUCACCCGUCGAGGAGCUCUGAUUCACCCGCAGCAAACAG
rnacentral:lncRNA from 1 species